rnacentral:rRNA from 1 species
UACGGAGGGUGCAAGCGUUAUCCGGAUUCACUGGGUUUAAAGGGUGCGUAGGUGGGUCUGUAAGUCAGUGGUGAAAUCUCCGGGCUUAACCUGGAAACUGCCAUUGAUACUAUAGCUCUUGAAUUUUCUGGAGGUAAGCGGAAUAUGUCAUGUAGCGGUGAAAUGCUUAGAUAUGACAUAGAACACCAAUUGCGAAGGCAGCUUGCUACAGGAACAUUGACACUGAGGCACGAAAGCGUGGGGAUCAAACAGGA